rnacentral:lncRNA from 1 species
CAAGAAGCUUACCAAACUCGAAGCUUUACUCACGAGAAGGUAUGAACCAAUUCCGAAUUUGCAUAUCUUCUUCUUCCUCUGAAACCGUAAUAUUGAUAUGCGAGUUGCAAAGAUCGAUUAAGAGUGUAGGAUGAUGUGUUAUGUUUGUACGCUAUUGCGUAAAUGAUAACUCUUGUGAAUGGUGAAUGAAGCACCUCAUAUAUAGACCCAUAAACAAUUAUAAAAUUCAACUCAGAUUCACCUAAAAUUAAAAAGUUAGUUACAAAUUACAAAUUAGUUUGUUUUGUUAAUUUCAAAAUGAAUUUCGGUUGAGUUUCAUAUGUUAUCAAUUACAAGUUAUGCUUCACCGUGGAAAAGUUAUGAACCUAAGUUGCUUAGCUUAUUACAUUUUGAGUUUUAUGGUUCCGUAAGGAUGUGUUAUGAGCUAUUAGCAGAGUCAAAAUGAGGAUGCUUGUUAUUUCUAAGUUAAAUUGAUUAUGACCUUAGCAGUAGGUUAGAAAGCUUUGGAAAAAAUAAUUUGUUUUCAUUAACUUGUGAUAUGAAUUGAAAAUAGAAAAGAAUCAUGUUAAUUUUAUUGGCAUGAUGAUGAAUUCCCAGAUUUAGACUCGAUGAACUUGUGAAUCUGGACCCUGUGAACUAGUAGGGUCCUCAUACUGAUUUUAUUAAAAAUCAGUGGUAGAUAUAAGUCACAAUAGAUGCUUUGAUGCUUGUUGAAAAAAGAAAGUAAAAUGGUUCUUGUGAAAUUGGAAUGAAAUUGUGUGUGGCAUGGUAAUUUUGCUUGAUGUAUGAUACUAUUGAAGUUGAAUUAUUGAUGCUUUUGGUCAUUGUUAUGAGUGCUGGAUUUGGUUUGUAAUUGGACUGAUUUGGUGGUUGGUUUGAGGCAAGGUUGCAAUAUAAAUGAUCAAGUGAAAGGCAAGGGGUGGUAAUUUUGUAACAAUGGUAUUUCUUGAUUGUGAAGCAACAAUGAAGGCUCAUGGAAUCAUGCAUGGAUAAAAAUGUAAUUAGCAUUAAGUUCAGGGAAAAAAUGUAAUGGUUGACUUUGGUCAACUGGUUGACAAAAAGUCAACAAUUGAUAAAAACUCAACUUUUGUAAAAAUAUAAUUUUUAUUUUUAUUUUUAUUUUAUAAUGGACACAUUUAUGCUAUUUUAAGAAUGAAUGGCCAAUAUUUGGAUGAAAUGAAUCAUGGUUGUAUCUAAACAAAUUGAUUUUUUUGAAUGAAUUUCAUCUAAAAACCAGGUUUGAUCCA